CUGGUACGGAACCUUCACCGGAAGACAUUUGUUGUUGCACAACGGCGUGUUACAUGACCUAAGCGGGCAGUGGAAGAGGACCUGUAUUUUCUGUGUUCUAUAAGAUGAUCAGUGGUCAACUAUGUCUACUUCAAGAAUAUUCAGUGCUUUGACACGAUUAGCUCUCCAUCCAGGAUUUCCUAAUAACGUUUUAACAAGGACGUGUGCCUUGAGAAAUGCACGGUUGCUUGCCGUAAGCGCCAAAGUAUCAUCCAAGUCACAAGGAUCUGAGGAUGUGCAGCCGAUUGAUGAACCCAUAAAGUUCUCCACCAGCAAGGCCAGCCACAAGACCUGGAGGGUCAAGCGCUCCAUGGGGAGUCAUUUUGAGCGGCCAUGGUGGAAAGUUGCCCCCAUCAGCGUCCUUGUUGCUGCAUUUUUGUUGUGGUGUGCCUUCAGAGGAGAGACUGACAUUGACAAACAACUGGAGAGGCAUUUGUAUGAACAGCUUCCUGGUUUGGUUUCAACGGAAGAACCAGACGAACCUCAAAAUAAAUGAACUCAUGUAAUAUGACAACUUGUAUCAAAUGUUUUGUUCAUACAACAGCUCACGAGAAAUACAUCCACUAGCUAGCAAAAUGAUGCUGGCUUUGUAGGAUAAAAUUUGCUUUAAUGUUAUGUUGAAUUUGUAAUUUAUUUAAUGUGUCUGUAUGCAUCUGUAUGUUAAAUAAAACAAAUUCAAGUUGAGGUAGCAAAAACUUUAUUUACAGCACACAAAAAUCCUAUGACAUGCAUGCACACACAGGAUUUAAAAAAAGAAAGACCUGAGUGGAAUACUUUCAGAAGUUGCAGAUUAUGGGACUAUUCUGAAGUGAAGAUAAGUUUAAAGUACAAAAACAUGCCUAAAACUAAGAACAAUUGGGGCACACAAUUACAUGUACCAAAAAAAAAAAAAAAACACGAACCCCCCCCCCCCC